rnacentral:tRNA from 1 species
GUUCUGAUAGUAUAAACAAUUACUCUGGUCUUGUAAACCAAAAAUGAAGAAAUUAUCUUCUCAGAACA